GAGUUUGAUCCUGGCUCAGAACGAACGCUGGCGGCAGGCCUAACACAUGCAAGUCGAACGCCCCGCAAGGGGAGUGGCAGACGGGUGAGUAACACGUGGGAACGUGCCCUAAGGUUCGGAAUAUUCCCGGGAAACUGGGAGCAAUACCGAAUGUGACCGCAAGGUGAAAGAUUUAUCGCCUUAGGAUCGGCCCGCGUCGGAUUAGCUAGUUGGUGGGGUAAAAGCCUACCAAGGCGACGAUCCGUAGCUGGUCUGAGAGGACGACCAGCCACACUGGGACUGAGACACGGCCCAGACUCCUACGGGAGGCAGCAGUGGGGAAUCUUGGACAAUGGGCGCAAGCCUGAUCCAGCCAUGCCGCGUGGAUGAUGAAGGCCCUAGGGUUGUAAAAUCCUUUCGUCAGGGACGAUAAUGACGGUACCUGAAGAAGAA
rnacentral:rRNA from 1 species